rnacentral:rRNA from 1 species
AGUGAACGCUGGCGGUAGGCCUAACACAUGCAAGUCGAACGGCAGCACAGGAGAGCUUGCUCUCUGGGUGGCGAGUGGCGGACGGGUGAGGAAUACAUCGGAAUCUACUCUGUCGUGGGGGAUAACGUAGGGAAACUUACGCUAAUACCGCAUACGACCUACGGGUGAAAGCAGGGGAUCUUCGGACCUUGCGCGAUUGAAUGAGCCGAUGUCGGAGUAGCUAGUUGGCGGGGUAAAGGCCCACCAAGGCGACGAUCCGUAGCUGGUCUGAGAGGAUGAUCAGCCACGCUGGAACUGAGACACGGUCCAGACUCCUACGGGAGGCAGCAGUGGGGAAUAUUGGACAAUGGGCGCAAGCCUGAUCCAGCCAUACCGCGUGGGUGAAGAAGGCCUUCGGGUUGUAAAGCCCUUUUGUUGGGAAAGAAAUCCAGCUGGUUAAUACCCGGUUGGGAUGACGGUACCCAAAGAAUAAGCACCGGCUAACUUCGUGCCAGCAGCCGCAGUAA